rnacentral:lncRNA from 1 species
CAUAUUCAUGCUAAGGAGCAAUGAAAAGGGUAGUUUCUCGUUUCUUAUUUGCUAUAUUUAAUUUUCCUGUGUGUUAUGCAAUGGAUAUUAUAACUAAAGUAUUUCCAAAGAGUUUAGAAUUUUUUCUUUUGUUUUUGCAGUUUUGAUCUGCUGCUUCUUUGACCAUUUCAUGCAUUCCCUUUCCAUGGUGUAAGAACCUUUAUACCAAAACAACCCUAAACAUUAUUCUUUGUCGGAUAUUGCAUCCCCGAAUUACAGAGUAUAUUUAUUGUCUGUUAUCUUUUAAAUGCUUCACCCAUUAACUAUAUUAUACAAUAAUAUUUAUUGUAUAAUAUAGUUAUAGCUGUUUCAUUCCCAGGAAUAUUGUAAAGUUGUCAAAUUUGUAUAUAAACUCCCCCCCCCCCCCCUCAGUACAAAACAGAGGAGCUCACACCAGUAGAAUACAUAUAUUUUAAUGUCCCACAAAGACUGAUUUCUUUGUUAGUGUCUGAAGAAUUGUUUUUUUAAAUGAAACUUUGCAGAGGUACAUUUUCGAGUGUUCAUAAAAUUGAGGAAAAAUGGUUUGGAGGAGAUUCUGAUCAUUGUCAACCCCACCCUGCCUUUGUUAAUACUAACUUCAGAACCUGGGAAAACCUACCAGCCAUUUGAUCACUUCUGGGUCUAGUGACACAAUCCAGAUUCGCUACAUUCUCACCAGAAGGCAGAAUAGGCGGAUACUUGCGAUUGCAAAGUUGUUCUUUGCUAAAAAAUGGACUUCACUACAUAGGUUAAUAUUCAAAUUUCCUCGUUGCCUCCCCUUACUUAAGAAGAGUUAUCUCUCUUAAAUAUUACAGACACGCAUGCGCAUGAAACGUACAUCCUAUUUAACGUUAACAUCCGAUUAGAACGUCUCGUACGUGAAUUUCUCUGAAUCGGUUUCUAAUAAGUUUCUAAUGCAUACAAAACGUAUUUAUAAUUUAUUUCUCAACUACCAGAUACACACGUAUAUAUAGCAACUCUAUCCUUUACGAAACAUUUCCAACAUCAGACAACAUUGACAUAACAGAAGAAACAUCCUCAAUAUCUACCAAGUUUUAAAGACUAAAAGAAAAUAU